rnacentral:rRNA from 1 species
CAGCAGCCGCGGUAAUACGGAGGUGGCGAGCGUUACUCGGAAUUAUUGGGUGUAAAGGGUAAGUAGGCGGUCUAUUAAGUGAGGGGUGAAAUCUUCCGACUCAAUCGGAAAACUGCCCUUCAAACUAGUAGACUUGAGAUUGGAAGAGGGAAACGGAAUUAGCAGUGUAAGGGUGAAAUCUGUAGAUAUUGCUAAGAACACCGGCGGCGAAGGCGGUUUCCUGGUCCAAUUCUGACGCUAAAUUACGAAAGCUAGGGUAGCAAACAGAAUUAGAUACUCUGGUAGUCCUAGCUGUAAACGAUGAGUACUAGGUGUCAGCCCCUCGGGGUUGGUGCCGCAGCUAACGCAUUAAGUACUCCACCUGGGGACUACGGCCGCAAGGCUAAAACUCAAAGGAAUUGACGGGGACCCGCACAAGCGGUGGAACAUGUGGUUUAAUUCGAUGCUACGCGAAGAACCUCACCAAGGCUUGACUUGCUCGUCGUAUUCUCCUGAAAGGGAGAAGUCAUUUAGUUGGACGAUGCACAGGUGCUGCAUGGCUGUCGUCAGCUCGUGUCGUGAGAUGUUGGGUUAAGUCCCGCAACGAGCGCAACCAUUGCCCCAUGUUGCUACCACAUUUGGGUGUGCGCACUCUGGGGGGACUGCCCGGGAAUACCGGGAGGAAGGUGGAAAUGACGUCAAGUCAGUACGGCCCUUAUGUCCUGGGCUACACACGUGUUACAAUGGACGGUACAAAGGGU